rnacentral:lncRNA from 1 species
AUGGAAGCUGAGCAAUAUCGAAAAGAGUUGUUGCCUUAUCCUAUGCUUGCUAAUGCUGAGAAGAUACUUGGGACUUCAACAGUGAUAAAGGAUGUAUCAAAAGGGAAAAUCUAUUGCCGUUUUCUGGAAAGUUGUUCAAAUCCUUCAUUUAAGUCGCACAUUACAAAUGGAAAACCAUCAGUGGAACCAGCCACUGUUCUUGGCCAGCUGUAUUCUGAUGAAGAGCCCGAGGGAAACCAGACUGAUGGGGAAUUGUUUUCCCCAGAUUACAAAGAAGUAGGGCAGCCAGCCCAGCCUCUUUCCUAUCUUCCUCCUAAAUCAAACCUGCAUAAUAAACUGCAUAGAGCCCAUGAUGAAACUACUCUAAGACAUAAGGUAAACUCUAACACUUGUUCAGAUCUCAAAUUGCCAAUACAUAGAACUAACUCUACAUUUUGGAUAGAUGAAAUAACACAUAUAGAAACAUCUUCAUCCGACGAUCAAGAGGAUGAAGAGGAUGAAGCAGAGCUACCUCGGUAUAAGACAGCACUGAAGAGCCAGCAGAAAAAGUAUAUUUCUCAAGCAAAACAAGACAGAUGUCAACAUAUCAGUUAUGAAGAUGUCUUCCCUGUCAGCAGUGGCAGAGAUUGCUACAAGAAGAAACUGAAAGACCACAAACUGCAGCUGCAGACCCAGUUGGUAAAGGAAAGUCAAUGGUAUGAUUCUAUGUUGUGUCUGAUGAACAAACUGGAAAAACUGAACUUGGAUAUUGAAGAUGCUCUCAGUGCUGACUCCUCUCCUUCUGGGACUCCAUACACCAAAAGAUGUAAACAGAUGGUGAGAGAAUGUUACUAUAUCAUUUACUGUGCAGAAAAAUUUGUAGAACAAUGGAGGCCUUAUUAGCUGCAGUUAGUUUCAGCAAGAACCUUCUUGUCUCAAGCUGUAUGCAUUAUAUGUUUCCAAAAUCAAAUUGUGGGUGUUUGGAGUUUUUAAAAUAAUUCAGAGUUGUUACUGAAGCUUUUGUGCAUUCUUCUUCUAGCACCUUUCAUUUCAUUGCACAUUUCCUAGAUUUUUCCUUGCCAUUAGUUUUUCAUAACACACAUUUUAAAUGUCUUUAACCAAUUAUUUACAGUAUGUUGUAAUAAAUACUUGAAACUUUCAACA